UUUAAGUGAAAGAAGGCCGAGGACAAGGUGGAAAUGUGAUGAGGUGCUGAAACUGCAUCCUUUUAUAUAGAACAAUAUUUAUACAAUCAGAACACAGCAGAGCGCCUGGAGCAGAAUAUGCCAACAUAUCAGUCUGUAACCCUCCGGAAACUAUAUGCUCCUGCCUGAAACAGGAGGUUUCUGUGCUCUGCCAAAGGCAAGACCGGGGAGCCCUUGAAGUACAGGAGGCUGCUGAGAGGAGGAGGCUUUGCCAGGUCUUCUCCACUUUUCUGCUCCAAGAGGCCACCAUGCUGGAAGACCCACACGUCAGGAACCACCACACAACACAGGACCACCACCAUGAGCCCCACCACCUCAUUUAAAUGGCAGGCAUCUGGUCUCAGCACCUGAUGAGGUGCAAACUAUAGCAUGUACAGUGUGACAUGGCUAUAGUCUUUGAGGUAAUUUCCUACAGCUUAUUUCCACAUAAUAAUGGCCUCUUAACAACGGGGGCUAAUCAAGAAUUAAUGAGGCACUAAAACAUUUUAAGGAACAAUGAAGGAUUUAAAAAUUUCUCUUAUGUGUUUUAUUUAAAAAGCAAUUCAUUUAACAGUUACUGCCCUUUCUUUAGAGCCAUAUAAAAAGUCUUGGUACUCAUCAAAUGCAUCAGCUGAAAGGUUUUAUUCAUUUAUCAGUUAUUUACUUAAGCGGGGCUGCACAUAACUGCAGAGACCAAGGCAUCCCAAACCAGGCUUGGGCCCCCUGCCCCUUCACCACCAUCCUCUCCAGCACCCGCUGCUCUCACCCGUAAAGCCACUUUGUUCCUCUGACAGCGAAGUGCCACACUGAAAAUAGAACGAGGCCAGCCCAAAUUAGCACGACUGCCAAAAGGGGACUUUGCAUUGUCUCUGAGACUGUCUCUUUUUUUCCGUUUGCUUGUUACAGGAAAGGAGCAUGCACUUUGCUGGGGGAGCCAUCCUUCCUGAUGCUUGAAAAACUCAGAGUGAAUUUAAUGGGGGGAAAAAACAGUAUGGAUAACAAGCUAGUAAAGGAUUUCAUGUCAAUGACUCAACACUGAAUUAAAGCCUGAAAAUACUUUAUCUCUGCUAUCAGCCUGGAAGGGAUAAUCAAAAUAAAAACACAUUCGAAUGUGGCUUAUUUUAAAAA
rnacentral:lncRNA from 1 species